rnacentral:tmRNA from 1 species
GGGGGUGUACAGGUUUCGACUUAGUAAUGGAACAUUAAUGGCAUGCAGAGGACGUCAGUUGGCCUCUCAAAAAAACUGGCAAACCAAUAAACGGCAAAGAUAAACUUGUCGCUGUUGAUUUCGCACCUAGUGCAGAUCUCGACAGAAUGGCUGCUUAAGACCUAACAGUUUAAGCACCUCGGUGACCUAGAGCGCACCAGGCUCUUUAGAAUCACUGUCAUAUUUCCUGGUAUGAAUCUGAUCCGUUCGGCCUUUUGAGAUUGAGAUUCGAGAUUUAAAAGGGCGAGUUGCUUCCCUCUGGGGCACCUUCCAUCAGAAGCAACUGCGAAACUAAAGGUGAUAAGCAUGUAGUCAUUAAUGCUGAAGUUGUCUAAGGACGAGAGUUCGAUUCUCUCCACCUCCA